rnacentral:rRNA from 1 species
GCAACCCUAAGUCAGGCGGGACCAUUCGCUGAGUUUAAGCAUAUCAAUA